GGACCCAUGGCGCAACGGUAGCGGUAUGGCGAAUUGAAAUCGAAAGGUUGUCUGUUCAAAUCAGGCUGGGUUCA
rnacentral:tRNA from 1 species